AUGAAUGUUCAUUUUUUUUGAACGGUACUGAUGAAUGUUCAUGAUCACUGUACCGCAGCCCACCUGCACUCGCACCCCACACGCGCCGCCUCCGACCCACCCCCGGCCCCGAGCCCCUGCCGCUCCUCCUCGCUGCCGCCCCUCUUCCGCCGCCGCGUCCCUUCCAGAUCUCCUCCGCCUUCGCGGAAGACAAAGCGGGGAGGCCUCAUCCACCUCGACGCUUGCGAAUUUGGUUCUCGCGCCUGGGAAAUCCGGCGGACGCGGGGCAGGAGCUUUCCCCGUUACGACUCGCGUGCCGGCUGGGACGUUGCGGUUGGCGCAUAGUCUAGGGUUUGCGACCGCGCUGGUGCUGUCGCGGCCGGAGGCAGUAGCACUAGCCAUGGGCGACGGCGAGCGCCACGACGAUGAGAUUCCGAUUACCAGCGCCGCAGGUGAGCUCGUCGUCUAUUGGAAGCAGUCAAUUCGUAUGGGUUCAGUUUGGUUUCACCCUUUUUUUUGCUCUCGGCUGCUGUUUUAUCAUCUUUCCUUACCGAUGACGAUGAGUAUUAUGAGGAGACUGGCGGGUGGAAUCACUUCCUGGGGUUUAUGUUUGGCAAUAUUGACGAUUCUGGCCGUCUGGCGACCUAGUCAACGGCUAUCUUGAUGAGAUUGACAUGGCCGAAUGUGAAAUUGUUGUGGACCUCGUGGUGGUAUACUGGAUGCCAAGGAACAUAUUUUUGCACUGUCUAACAAGCUUGGUCCAUCUCUGAAAGAUGACCAAGACGUCUCCAGCACCAGCUGAUCCUUGUGAGCAAGACUGAUGAGAAAGCAGAUGAUACUGUUGACUAUGAAGAUAUUGACGAAGAUUAUGAUGCACCUGAAGUUGAAGCAGCUACAGAAGAGGACCAUUUGCUAUCCAAUAAAGACUACUUCUCCUCGAAUAUAGUCUUUGCUUCACUCAAUCCUAAAGCCACCAAACUUGGAACUUCUAUUUAUUCAUUCUCAGAUUGCUUUUUCUCGUGGAAAACAAGUACAAAAUAUGCCUAUCUCAUCUGUUGAAGUCAUCAAUACUCAAUAACACCUUAAAGUUUUUGUUUGUAUCUUAUUUAUAUAUGUUUCAUCUUGCUAGUAUAUACAAUACCAAGUGGCUAAAAAAAGAAGCCAUUUGGAAUGAUUAUCAUGUUCCAAAAAGGAAAGCAUAGACGGCUCAAAUGGGAUGAGAAUAAAUGUUUCUGUUUGCUAGUUGUUUUGGAUUAUGACCAUAUCCCAAAUGACCGACUUAACCAUUUAGAUCAACAUUCCAAACGGUUGCAUCGCGGAAAUCAUGUAUGCCUCAUAAGAUCAGUUCUGGGAGUACUUAUCCCAAAUGGUUUGCAUUUGCUAACAGUUCAGGAUAGCUUUAACCUUAAACAAUAUUCCUUGGACAUUUGGGAUGAGCUGUUUAUUAUGUGUGUUUCUAUACUAAUGUAAAGAAAUAGUUUUAGAUGGCAAAAUGUCAAACAAAUGAAAAUAUAUCAUUCUUUAUUCAACAGUAACAAACCUUGCUCGCACAUGCUUUACCAAAAACAAAUCCUGCCGGCUCCCAGAAACAUGGCAUUUUGGAAGUGGCUUCAGUUUAAAAUGUCUACAAUCCACAACUUCCUACAAUGUCAAUAAAAUAUUAAGAUUUCAUCCUGGAAAACCAUAUUUAUAGAUUUCCCUCGCAAAGUACUUUAAUAAUAUUAGAAUGUUGUCGUGCUUUGUACAGAUAAAAUUAGUGAUUAAAGUUGCAUGGUGAAGACCAUAUGAAUAUUUAGAGCCUCGUAUUUGGCGAACUUGAGGCAGUCAUUUGCGUUCUACUAUUGGUGGGUUUCAAAAAUAUACAUUUGUGAUGUGGUGGUUCCCCUAAGAUGAUGGUUCAAUUUUCUAGUAUAUACUGCAUGUGUUGGUCAGGCAUUUAAUUUAGUUUGAUGAGUAGAUUGUGUGAUCACUUGUGUGCGGUGAGCCUUGAAAUUUGGCACAAAACACGACACUCUGGGAGGCCUGAAGCUGCCUCCUGCACCCUUUUAAAGUGCACCUUCAAGUUUCAGCCGAAGAUCUCCUGUUCCUGGGGUUAAGUCUCAGUUCUCACCAAUGCAGAAUCUGGUGCCAAGUUUAUUGGCAAUGGCACGGCUGAUGCUGUACUGAAAGCCAAGGCACAACUGGAGGGGACUGAUCUUCAUGUACCUGAUUCAGUUUCUCUGUAUGAAACCAACAAUCUUGUAUCGCCAGAAAACACAUCUUUGGACGACUUAGUUGUUUCAGAUGAUGAAUUGGAUACACUGGAUACUGAUAAAUCCCGAGAGUAUCUGGAACUGUUGAAAAAUGCUGAUGUCGCAGAUAGCAGCACAGUCUGAAAUGUUCUUCUACAGAAGUUUCUGAUCUAAGCUCACUGAAGGGCACAGAAUUAAGAGAGCUGGCGAAAUCUCAAGGACUAAAAGGUUAUUCAAAGAUGAAGAAAAGUGAGUUGGUUGCAGUACUGAGCAUCCUGACCUGAUUCAUUGGUGGCACCGUGGCAAGGGCAUAGGCUCCUGCUUCAGCCCACUGUUUUGCUUCUCUCUUUUUUUUCUUUUCUUUUUUUGAGAUCAACGUGCAUGACGCUUUAGUCCUCAGAUGAUAAUAAUUAUGAAUUUACAACAUCAUUCCGAAAACUAGGAAUAGAAUAUAAAAAACGAGAGACACUGCAAUUUUGCUUCUCUCUUUCAUUGGUGUGCACACAACCUUUCCGUUCCUAUGUUGGCAAGACCAGGUCCUUUUAAAUAGGAUAGGACGUUGUAACUGAGCAAAGUUAUCUUUCUGUUGUUCAGUGCUGAUCUUAUGCUGGUUCUUAGCUACCUUUGUUUUUUAGUUAAUAAGCUGAACUCUUUGUUACUCAGUUGGCCCUAGAUUUGUUUCUGUCUUGUACUACUGUUGAAUAAGCUAUACAGAUGGAGUUGAAUAAGCUAUAUAUGCUUGGCAGGACAUAUGUUUCUCUGUUGUACAACUAUUGACCUACAGAGUUGGCCCUAGAUUUGUUACUCAGUGAACUGGAUAGACAAUCAUUUGGCAAUAUGGCUCUCUGCAAGUCUGAAUCAGCUGCCUGUCGCUUUUCUCAUGAAGGGGAAGAUAGUAACCAAUCGUCCCAGACUCUCAGCCGCAUUAUUGAUUCUGUUCCUUUUGUUGGCAAGGUAACAAUCUCCCGCUUAACUUGUGGGGAGUGUUCCAUUAUCUAUGUCGAUAUCUCUGCCCUCUUCUAUGUUUUGGUUUCUGGGAGCUGUCAGAUCUGGGGGAUUGGACGGUUAGUUUACGGUCUCUCAAGCCUUAUGGACCUGCUUCCUCCGCCUCCCCUCCUAGCAUGAAUGAUUUCCUUGGCCCUGGUUGUGUGUGUGUGUAUAAGCUGAGCCAUUCUGAUACGAUCACAGCAGUGUUACCUAGCAGUAGCAAGUUUCUUUUCAGCAAGAAAAGAAAGCCCCUUCAUUAGAUAAAAGAAAUGCAAAUAUAACGAUUGCUUAAGCGA